rnacentral:rRNA from 1 species
AGCGGCGGACGGGUGAGUAACGCGUGGGUAACCUGCCUCAUACAGGGGGAUAACAGUUGGAAACGGCUGCUAAUACCGCAUAAGCGCACAGUACCGCAUGGUACCGUGUGAAAAACUCCGGUGGUGUGAGAUGGACCCGCGUCUGAUUAGCUAGUUGGUGGGGUAACGGCCUACCAAGGCGACGAUCAGUAGCCGACCUGAGAGGGUGACCGGCCACAUUGGGACUGAGACACGGCCCAA